GUACCGCCUGCCCUGUGGAAACCCUAAACGGCCGCGGCACUAAAACCGUGCAAAGGUAGCACAAUCACUUGUCCCCUAAAUGAGGACCCGUAUGAAAGGCAACAUGAGGGAAGACCUGUCUCCUAAGGCCAGCCAAUGAAAUUGAACUGCCAGUACAAAAGCUGACAUAUAUAAGCAAGACAAAAAGACCCUGUGGAACUUGAACAAAUUUCUUAUACAAAAUAAGCAAUAGUUUCAGUUGGGACAACUUUAGAAAAAAUAAACUUCCUAACCCACCAAGACCCACAAGUCUAAAACACCCACCUAUGACCCAGUCACACUGACUAACGAACCAAGCUACCCCAGGGAUAACAGCGCCACCUUCUAAAAGAGUCCAUAUCAACAAGAAGACCUACGACCUCGAUGUUGGAUCAGGGUAUCCUGACGGUGCAGCAGCUGUCAACGGUUCGUUUGUUCAACGACUAACACCCU
rnacentral:rRNA from 1 species